rnacentral:lncRNA from 1 species
GGCUCAGCCUCCCGAGUAGCUGGGACUACAGGCGCCCGCCACCACGCCCAGCUAAUUUUUUUGUAUUUUAGGUAGAGAUGGGGUUUCACCGUGUUAGCCAGGAUGGUCUCGAACUCCUGACCUUGUGAUCCGCCCGCCUCGGCCUCCUUAGAUUUGUUUCGGGGUUCUCUAUUCUUCAAAAAAAAUAAAUAAAACGGCUACCACACACACACACACACACACACACACACACACACACACUGGCAUUACCAAGUGCUGUGAGGAUGUCGAGGAAACCGAAGACUCAGACUCCACUAGUAAUAUGGAAGCAGCCAGUGGGAAAAUCUGGCAACUUCUCAUAAAACCAAACAUACUCCUUUCCUUUGACCCAUUCCUCAGUAUCUGCCCAGAGAAAU